rnacentral:rRNA from 1 species
GAUGAACGCUGGCGGCGUGCUUAACACAUGCAAGUCGAACGAUGAAGCUCAGCUUGCUGGGUGGAUUAGUGGCGAACGGGUGAGUAACACGUGAGUAACCUGCCCUUAACUCUGGGAUAAGCCUGGGAAACUAGGUCUAAUACCGGAUAGGAGCGUCCACCGCAUGGUGGGUGUUGGAAAGAUUUAUCGGUUUUGGAUGGACUCGCGGCCUAUCAGCUUGUUGGUGAGGUAAUGGCUCACCAAGGCGACGACGGGUAGCCGGCCUGAGAGGGUGACCGGCCACACUGGGACUGAGACACGGCCCAGACUCCUACGGGAGGCAGCAGUGGGGAAUAUUGCAUAAUGGGCGAAAGCCUGAUGCAGCGACGCCGCGUGAGGGAUGACGGCCUUCGGGUUGUAAACCUCUUUCAGUAGGGAAGAAGCGAAAGUGACGGUACCUGCAGAAGAAGCACCGGCUAGCUACGUG